AUUGAACGCUGGCGGCAUGCUUUACACAUGCAAGUCGAACGGGCUGUCGGGGCAACCUGGCAGUCAGUGGCGAACGGGUGAGUAAUACAUCGGAACGUGUCCUUGAGUGGGGGAUAACCCGGCGAAAGCCGGACUAAUACCGCAUACGCUCUAAGGAGGAAAGCGGGGGACCGAGCAAUGGCCUCGUGCUGAAGGAGCGGCCGAUGUCCGAUUAGCUUGUUGGUGGGGUAAUGGCUUACCAAGGCGACGAUCGGUAGCUGGUCUGAGAGGAUGAUCAGCCACACU
rnacentral:rRNA from 1 species